GCGGCAGUAGCUCAGACAGAGCGCCGGGGUUCACCCCGGAGGCUACGGGAUCACAGCCCGUCUGCCGCACCA
rnacentral:tRNA from 1 species